rnacentral:lncRNA from 1 species
ACGAAGACGGCUCGCGGCGUGCGGAGAUGGAGUUGGCUUUCGGCAAGAUGCAAAGCUUCGCGCUGCGGCGGCUAGGGUUCCUCGGACGCGCGUCUAACGGAAAAGAAAUCCGUUGCGAUACUUGGAAGCUUUAUAGGGCCUCGGUUCGUGCAAAACGGCAAGGAAAUCCCGGCUCCACGGGUUCGAUUCGAUAGGGGGUUUCCUGUUCGGUUGCGUGCGCUGGGGAAGAAGAAAGAACACGCUGACGUGUGGGCCCCAGUGAUCAGUGAGCCAAGGAAGAGAAGAGAGGAGAAAAUCAGCGCGCGGGCUUCCUGGGCCGCACUGGGCCGAGGCGAGGGGGAAGGGGGAUGCUCGGCUGCAGCCUGGGAGGCUUCCUUUCUCUUUUUUUUUUCCUAUUUCCAAUUUCCUUUUCUGUUUUGUUUUAUUCUCUUUUUUUUCAAAGCCUUUUUCAAAAAGGAUUUUGAGGACAAUUAAAUAUAAACCAACUACAAUCAACACAAAAUAAAAUAUGUCUCAGCAUGAAUGCACAUUCAUGUUUCUAAACUUAUAAUAAAUUUUAUUUUCCACAAAAUUAUUUAAGUGCUAAAUUUAAAUGCUCUCAAAAAUACUUAAUUAAAUCAAAUUAAAUCCUAUUAAUCCGAAAUCAAAUUUUGGGUGUUACAAUUCCGGACCAUGCCCGGUCUGAAUUUUCUCAAGCCAACCAUAGCCAUCUCAGGCAUAAAGCUCUGCUAAACCUUUCCAAGACCAGUAUGUCUCUUGUUCAUGGUGUGCUGCACAUGCACCACUCUAAGUCUUCCAAGAGUUAGUGGCAGCCUCAGGUAGUCAGGCCGGUUCUGUUUGCUUGUCGUAUAAGCCGUACAUUUUCUAUUAGUCAGCAGUGUUUUUCUUUCACAAUAAAUCAGCUAACAAGUGAACAGGCUCGCCUGUACUAUAAAUUUUAACUAAGCGCAACACAAGGCAUUUCAGUACCUCUUAGUUCUCAGAAAUGACGACUGCUCAUCGUGUCGUCAUGCUUGGUUCCAAAGGACCAUAGGGAGUGUUCAGCUUAGUAGCACAUCGCCACAUCGGUACAGACAAGGAGCCUCCUGAGAUGUUGCUGAGAUGCCAAUGUGACACAAUGACAAGAACUCUAGCACGUCACUUUCGUCCACCACCGAGGAGGGAAUGUGCUGAAUUUGCACAAGAAGUUUGCAACUUCUAAAGAAACAUAUAUUCCUUAUUAAAAGCAAAUGAUAUGCAACUGCUUUGACAUGGACAGAAGUGAGAAGUAUGUGAAAGAUCUAGGGCAACGCUGCACCUGUUUGCUUGAUGACGUGUUGGUUUUGGUUGGCAUUAAUUUUAUUUGUUGUACAUGAGCACUCACGGUUUAUGAUUAUUUAUUUUUCAUAGUUAGUAACCAAGUGUCAUUUUUCUUCAUGAUAUGUAGUCCAAUACUUAUUUCCUUACGAAGUAUAAGUCGCUUUAACUUUUCUAGUACAUAGUUUUUAUUGCACAUAUAGAUAUAUAUUGUAUGAUAUAUGUCUAGAUUCUUACGGAAAACUAUAUAAUUUAUAAUUAGAAAACAGAAGAAAUAAAUGUCUCAAGUCUG